AACGAACGCUGGCGGCAUGCCUAACACAUGCAAGUCGAACGAGACCUUCGGGUCUAGUGGCGCACGUGUGCGUAACGCGUGGGAACCUGCCCUUAGGUUCGGAAUAACUCCCCGAAAGGGGUGCUAAUACCGGAUAAUGUCUUCGGACCAAAGAUUUAUCGCCUUUGGAUGGGCCCGCGUUGGAUUAGCUAGUUGGUAGGGUAAAAGCCUACCAAGGCGACGAUCCAUAGCCGGUCUGAGAGGAUGAUCAGCCACACUGGGACUGAGACACGGCCCAGACUCCUACGGGAGGCAGCAGUGGGGAAUAUUGGACGAUGGGCGAAAGCCUGAUCCAGCAAUGCCGCGUGAGUGAUGAAGGCCUUAGGGUUGUAAAGCUCUUUUACCCGGGAUGAUAAUGACAGUACCGGGAGAAUAAGCUCCGGCUAACUCCGUG
rnacentral:rRNA from 1 species